rnacentral:rRNA from 1 species
CAUGCAAGUCGAACGAUGAUGGGAGCUUGCUCCUGGAUUAGUGGCGAACGGGUGAGUAACACGUGAGUAACCUGCCCUUAACUCUGGGAUAAGCCUGGGAAACUGGGUCUAAUACCGGAUAUGACUCCUCAUCGCAUGGUGGGGGGUGGAAAGCUUUUUGUGGUUUUGGAUGGACUCGCGGCCUAUCAGCUUGUUGGUGAGGUAAUGGCUUACCAAGGCGACGACGGGUAGCCGGCCUGAGAGGGUGACCGGCCACACUGGGACUGAGACACGGCCCAGACUCCUACGGGAGGCAGCAGUGGGGAAUAUUGCACAAUGGGCGCAAGCCUGAUGCAGCGACGCCGCGUGAGGGAUGACGGCCUUCGGGUUGUAAACCUCUUUCAGUAGGGAAGAAGCGAAAGUGACGGUACCUGCAGAAGAAGCGCCGGCUAACUACGUGCCAGCAGCCGCGGUAAUACGUAGGGCGCAAGCGUUAUCCGGAAUUAUUGGGCGUAAAGAGCUCGUAGGCGGUUUGUCGCGUCUGCCGUGAAAGUCCGGGGCUCAACUCCGGAUCUGCGGUGGGUACGGGCAGACUAGAGUGAUGUAGGGGAGACUGGAAUUCCUGGUGUAGCGGUGAAAUGCGCAGAUAUCAGGAGGAACACCGAUGGCGAAGGCAGGUCUCUGGGCAUUAACUGACGCUGAGGAGCGAAAGCAUGGGGAGCGAACAGGAUUAGAUACCCUGGUAGUCCAUGCCGUAAACGUUGGGCACUAGGUGUGGGGGACAUUCCACGUUUUCCGCGCCGUAGCUAACGCAUUAAGUGCCCCGCCUGGGGAGUACGGCCGC